GACGAACGCUGGCGGCGCGCCUAACACAUGCAAGUCGAACGGGAUCUUUUAGAGAGCUUGCUCUCUGGCUGAUCUAGUGGCGGACGGGUGAGUAACACGUGAGCAACCUGCCCUGGAGUGGGGGAUAACGCCUGGAAACGGACGCUAAUACCGCAGAACAUCAUUGAGCGGCAUCGCUUGGCGAUCAAAGGAGAAAUCCGCUUUGGGAUGGGCUCGCGCCCGAUUAGGUAGUUGGUGGGGUAAAGGCCUACCAAGCCAACGAUCGGUAGCCAGACUGAGAGGUUGAACGGCCACAUUGGGACUGAGACACGGCCCAGACUCCUACGGGAGGCAGCAGUGGGGGAUAUUGCACAAUGGGGGAAACCCUGAUGCAGCGACGCCGCGUGGGUGAAGACGGCCUUCGGGUUGUAAAGCCCUGUUGACGGGGACGAUAAUGACGGUACCCGUUCAGAAAGCCACGGCUAACUACGUGCCAGCAGCCGCGGUAAGAC
rnacentral:rRNA from 1 species